rnacentral:lncRNA from 1 species
CCUUUUCUUAUACAUUUAUGAGGUAAAUGAUUCAUUAAUGGUUAUUCAAAUCCAAGUUGAAUACAUGAAGGAACCGUUGAUGCCUAUCCAAUGACCAUCCAAGUUGGCCAACUCUUUUGAGAAGAUAGCUUAUCCAACUGGACUCUCUUGCAUAAUAUAUAAGUGAAACUGGUACCAACAUUGACAGCAAGGGAUGAAACAGAG